UACGUAGGGUGCGAGCGUUAAUCGGAAUUACUGGGCGUAAAGCGUGCGCAGGCGGUGAUGUAAGACAGGUGUGAAAUCCCCGGGCUUAACCUGGGAACUGCAUUUGUGACUGCAUCGCUGGAGUGCGGCAGAGGGGGAUGGAAUUCCGCGUGUAGCAGUGAAAUGCGUAGAUAUGCGGAGGAACACCGAUGGCGAAGGCAGCACUCUGGGCCGGUACUGACGCUGAGGAGCGAAAGCGUGGGGAGCAAACAGG
rnacentral:rRNA from 1 species